CGUAGCAGCAGAAAAAAAUCACGAAGCCAGUUUUUUUUCUUCUUCAACUACUACUUAUUUUACUCCUCCUCAACUUUUUUAUAAUACGACUGAAAAAAUUAUCAAUUGCUCAUAAAUUUGACCAGAGCGAACAGGAAAAAAGAAAAUUCAUACGGAAAAUGUUACAUACAAAUGUAAUGCAAUAAAAAAAGUAAAAAAUCGUAAGAAAAGUAUAAAUUAAUAAAUAUAUUGUGUAUAAGGCAAGGUCAGUACGGAAGAAAUGGAAAAAACUAAAAUGUUUUGUGCAAACUUAAACACGCGUAUGGAUGGUGGAUCAGGGUGUUGCGCUUAGAAUGUAAAAAAUAUAAAAUUAAUACAAAUUAAUAAUCUUCCCCCGCGAACAUACUACUAUUUAUAUUUAUUAUAACUUAUUACUACUUAUUGCCUGCCUGCCAGUGCACAAUACACAUAAUAUAAUUUUUUGUGUUUCUUUUGUUUAAUAAUUUUUAACGAGCAAAAAAUAAUAUGAAAAAGAAUACAACGUUAAUGACUACGUGAGUGCAAAGUGAGUCCGGGUAUUAAAAAGAAAUUACUCUAUACAAAUUAAAAAAAUAUCUUUUUUAAAAGUAUAAAAAAAGUAAGAAGGGUUAAAAAGGAAAAGAGAAAUAUAGAAAACGAAGAAGAAGGUGAUUUAGAAGAAGAGAUGAUCAAUGAGAAAAGGAGGAUUUGAUGUCAGAGAAUUGUCAACAAGAAAAUACAAGAGAAAAAACCACAAGAGUAUCGUUAAAAAGGCAACAAUAACAACAACAAAACAAAUAUUAACAGGAAACUUGUAGAGAAAUUUUUUAAGUAACUACAACAAUAAACAGUUUUCCUGUCAAAUCAUUUUACACCUACAAUUUACAUACAUAUACACAAACAUGUAUACUUCACCAUUUCAUUAUUCUACUAUGAGGCCUCAGCCUCCAGGGAGUGGACCAACCUUAGAUGAAAAUGCGGAAGAACUACGCAAUGUAGAAUGGUAUUGGGGCAAAAUCAGUCGAGAGGAUGUUAAAAACAUCCUAAGCGGCAAACCAGAUGGUAGUUUUUUGGUACGUGAUGCCCUGUCCAAAGAAGGAGAAUACACUCUUACCCUCAUAAAAGAUGGCACGGAAAAAUUAAUAAAAAUUUGCCAUUUAAAUGGAAAAUAUGGUUUUGUGGAUUGCAAAUUCAACUCGGUGGUGGAGUUAAUCAACUACUAUAAAGCGAAUUCUUUGAAACUUUACAACAAAACUUUGGAUAUUACCCUAAGCAAUCCCAUUAUACGUCCCAUCGAAGAAGAAGAACUACAGCCCAAUGCCGAUUUACGCAUAAUGGCCGAACAGUUUCUGGUCAUACACCACCGACUCAAUAAACAUCAACAGAGUUUGGAUCAAAAGUUAAAGGUUUUUAAAUCCAUUGAAACCGAAUUAAAUGAUAAAAAACUGCACCAGGAAGUAUUUCUAAGGGCGGAGAAAAUGUUUCAGUCCCAAAUUAAACUAUUGGAAACAUUUAUCAAUAAUCCACCGCAGGUCGGUACAAAUACGAACCUCAAUUCCUCUUCAACAACGAAUACAUUGUCAUCGUCGUUAAACACUAACUCCUCUUCCGUUGCCGCCUCCGCCACAAUAAAUUCUCAAACAACCCGCCAUUUGGAACAAGAACAGUUGCAGCUUAAUGCUGCCGCUAUGAAGGCUCAUCUCAAUGAUCUCUGUGCUGAAAUGAACAAGCUAAAUCGUUAUGUUGAAAAUAAGAAAGAAGACUACAAAGCAUUGGAACGACAAAUUAAUGCAGCUAAACCGGAACUACAAACUCUUAAUAUGAGAAAAGAGAAAUAUAUUGAACGUCUCAAAGAAUUCGGCAUAACUGACGAAGAUAUUAAAGAAUUGAUCGAAAUGGGUUUUGAGGCCUGGCAACAACGCUACGAAAGUGUAUCGAAACAACCGCACAACGAUGAAUCCAUGUGGUUUCUACAGGAUAUAUCACGACAAGAUGCCGAAGAAUUACUCUGCGGCGCACCGACUGGUACUUUUUUAAUACGCGCCCGUUCUGCUGGUCAUUACGCUUUAUCGAUUGUCUGCAAAAACUGUAUAAAUCACUGUAUUAUUUAUAAAACCGAAAGUGGUUAUGGUUUUGCAGCACCCUACAAUAUCUAUCAUACUCUCAAGAAAUUAGUGGAACAUUAUGCCACCAAUUCGCUGGAGGAACACAACGAUACACUGACCACCACCUUAAGUAUACCGGUCAUGUAUUGGCAUCAAAAUAAAGAACUGAUAACACAACAGUUAAAAGAACAAAUGGAAUUGGAGCGUCAACAACAGGAAAUGGAACAACAAUUGCAAGAGGAAAUGAUAAUGCCCACACCACCCAUGGCCACCUCGGCACCUAUAGCUGUAACGGGGGCAUCGUCGUUAAUGUCUGUCAAUGAUAUGGCAGCUAGUCAAACGCCGCCUCAAGCACAUUCCUAUGGCAGUAGUAGUGGUGCUGGCGGUGCAGGUGGCAGUAGUAUUGGUGGUGAUAGCAUUAUAGGCGGUGGUGCUAGCAGUUAUCCCGGCAGUAAUCUGUAGUAGUUUUAACAUUCAAUUAAAAAUUUGAUUGAAUGAUUAAUUUGUUUGUUUGAUUUUCAAACAUUCAUACAUAUUUUUGUAGUGGUGAAAUCAAAUUUAUAUUAGUAAGUGGUGCUUGAGAGAGAAAUUACAAAUAAUCUCUUCUACUAAAGCUACAGCUGGCUGUUGUUUGUACGUAUAAAUUUAUCUCCCUAAAAAAAACCCGUGAUUCCCCUUAAAACCCAGUUUAUGUUUUUGUUGGUUUUCAUUUGUCAAGUAAUGUAUAAUGAUAAAUCUCUUAAAGAAAAAGAUUUAUCUUUAAAAAAAAAAUGUUGAUAACUUAAGUAAUAUAUUUAUAUAUUAUGAAAAGUGAUUUAUAAGAAUAUAUUAUUAUAUCUCUUUUUUUUUGUCAUAAAAAAUUCUAUAUUAUUUUGCCUCUAAGGUCCAUACUUGGACAUUUAUACAUUUACACUUAAAUAUUUGUAAACAAGGCAAAGUUUAAAAAGAAGAAGAAAAAAGAUUUUGUAAAAAUCAUUGUCGGUGCAUUUUGGGUGAUAUAUUAAGUGACCAUGAGUAAAACAAAAUGAGAAAAAUGUUUAGUUAAUUUUCAAAAGAAAAUAUUAAUUAUUACAGACUUAUAAAAUAUACAUAUAAAAUAUUUUUCUCUGGCUUGUUUUAAUUUUGAUGUUAAUUAAUAUUAUUCUUAAAUUAUUGUAUACAUAAAAAUGUAAAUUAGUUAUUAGGUUUUUUUUUCUUUCAAUCUUGUAUUCACUAUUUAAUAUUUUGUUAAAAAAAAAAAACAAGAUUUAUUAAUUUAUUUUAUUUAAGUUAUCGCGGUUUAUUUCUCUCAAUAUAUGUCGUUUUAUAAAUCUAAUAUUUUUACUAUUUACAUUUAAGUUACAUUUAUACGUUUAUUUGUUUUGUGCUCUCCCAUGUUUGUUUUUUAAGUAUUUUCUUUUCUUUUUUUUAAAUUUUUAUUUUAAGUAUUGUUGGUUGUAGUGGAGAAAACAAGAUUUAAGGGAAACAUGUUUUCUCUUAAAGAAUACAAAAGAAACUUGUUUUAAUUUUUAAAUUUUCGAUAAAUUUGUCACUUUUAUUUUCGAAACUUCUGAAAAAUUUACUUUAAAUAUCUUAAAAUGUGAAUUUUGCUUAAAUUUUUGCUUUGAAAU